rnacentral:misc_RNA from 1 species
CCGCCAUCCUACAGCCGACUCAAAAAGCUAUAUUAGAAAUGUUUGAAACGCGCAAACCACUUAGAACGCGUCAAAACAACGAGGAAGUUUUCGUUUCUCCUAUCUUCUGCUUCCUUUAUUUCUCAAUAUCUGCGGCUCUCGCUUGCUAUCGACGUUCCUCUGAAUUUCUCUGCUUUUUCUCUCUGGUAUGGCUUCAGUACUUGUGGCUUGUCAAAGAGAGACGGCCGAAACCACAGAAUUCAUGAUCUAGGGUUUUUAAUUUGAUUGUUGCUUUGAAUCAAUUGUUUUUUUUUGUUCUUUGUUAAUUGCUGGUAUUUGUUGAAUAUUCCAGCUGCUUAUAUUUUCUGUGUUUCCUGAAUCUAAUUUGUGAUAUCUUGUUGAUAUAUUGCUGAUAUCUAGGGGUUUUAUUCGGAUUGAUCAUUAAAAAAAAAGGUGGGAAAGCAUUAAAAAAAAAUUAAAAAUAUAUUUUCGGUUGAGUGCUUUAUACAAUUGAUCUUGAAUUUUUAUUGAGAAGAAAUUGUGGUUCUUAUCAAUAUGGCGGCAGGGCGUGUCGAUGUUUCGAGAAGAAGGGGUUGUGAUGGUUACUCCAAUAACUAUUUUGAUCGCUAUAGGAACGGUGCUCAUGGCGUGGAGUUCAAUCGUGGUGUUGAGCACGGUGUGGUAUAUAAGAAUGGGUACCAUAUUUCCUCAAAUGCGCGGAAAUUUCGUAUUCAAAGAAGUGGACUUAGUUGCAGAGAUGAAGGGAGAGAGUUGGGUGAGUUGCAAAGUGGAAUUGGCCUUGAUCAUUCCUCAGGGUUGGAGGACGGUGAGAUACCAAAGUCUGAUGAUGGGAUUCAGAUGCCACCAGAGAAGAAAAGGAAAUUCUCCCCUAUUAUAUGGGAAAUAGAAGACAAAGUAGCAACCAAAAAUAGAGUUCUCCCAACAAGUCCUGCCUUAUCUAAUGUUACAUCUCCACAGCGAGCUUACUGUCAGGGACCAAACAUUGUUCUAGAUGCAGGUGUUGCAAAGCAUGCUUUCACAGUAAAUCAGCUCCUGGGGUUGGACUGUGUGUCAGAUAAGCCUUGCGUGAUAGGAGGAUUGGUAGAUACUACUGGAUCUGAGCCUAAGUCUCCAGCAAUUUUGUUUCCUAAAAUUCCUGAAGAGAAGCAUAAGGAUGGUAGCCAAGAACAAUUUGAAGGGGAGGGGGAAGAGUUUACUGAGGCGCGGAACAUAUCCAUGUCACGAUGGGCAUCUGACAGUGAUUCUCCAAAGGAUGAAAGUUUGUCUGAUGAUGAAGGCGGACCUGGAGAAAAUAUAUGCAGAAAGGAACCCAGUGCUGAGAGAAUGAAGUUUCAUAGGGAGGCUUUGGAGGGAGAUGGAUUGAGAUCAUCUGGAUCUAGUGAAAGAGAUUGCAGUUCAAGGGGAGAUGUUAAUUUUGGAAGCAAGUUGAAAAAUGUUGAUCUCUUGGAUGCUGAUGGGAUCCAGGACGAAAAUGGUAGUUUUAACCAGUUUGAUCAUGGUUUAGGUUAUGUUGAAGAGUCUGUUGCCUCUACCCAAAGAGGUGUGAAUAUGCUCCAGGGUUGUAGAAGUGUGUAUGAGUAUGAGAAACUUCAUGAAAUUAAUGAAGGUACAUAUGGUAAAGUGUACAAAGCAAUUGAUAAGAAGACUGGGAAACCUGUGGCUUUGAAGAAAGUGAAGAUGGAUGUAGGAGGAGAUAGGAACUUGGAAGAAUAUGGCUUUCCUUUAUCCUCUUUGAGGGAAAUUAACAUUCUUUUGUCUUUUCAUCACCUGUCAGUUGUGAACGUUAAAGAAGUUGUCGUGGAUAGCCAUGACAAUGUUUUCAUGGUGAUGGAAUACAUGGAACAUGACCUCAAGGGGCUUAUGCAGACGAUGAAACAACCCUUUAGUACAAGUGAAAUCAAAUGCUUAAUGCUACAGUUGUUGGAAGGUGUCAAGUAUCUUCACGAUAACUGGGUGCUUCAUAGGGAUUUGAAGACAUCAAACCUUCUUUUGAACAAUCAAGGGGAAUUAAAAAUAUGCGAUUUUGGGAUGUCACGCCAGUAUGGGAGCCCAUUGAAGCCAUAUACAUCUCUUGUGGUUACUUUGUGGUACAGGGCACCCGAGCUUCUGCUGGGGGCAAAGCAAUAUUCAACAGCAAUGGACAUGUGGUCUGUGGGUUGCAUAAUGGCUGAACUGUUGGCCAAGGAACCACUAUUCAGAGGGAAAGGCGAAAUUGAUCAGCUUGGCAAGAUUUUCAGAAUUCUUGGCACACCAAGUGAGACAAUUUGGCCUGGAUUUUCCAAAUUGCCAGGGGCUAAAGCAAAUUUUGUUCGGCAGCCGUAUAAUCUGUUGCGCAACAAGUUUCCUGCCUCAUCUUUCACGGGAUCUCCAGUUCUCUCUGAUUUGGGAUUUGACUUGUUGAACAAGCUUCUAACUUAUGAUCCAGAAAAGCGAAUAACAGCUGAUGCUGCCCUCAACCAUGCUUGGUUUCAUGAGGUUCCUUUACCUAAAUCUAAAGAAUUCAUGCCUACUUUCCCCCCUCAGCAUGCAAAGAAAAGAUAGAAGCCAGACCGCUAGAAGCAUCCUACUAUCUGAGUGAAUGUGUAGACUCUCUGUUAGCUUAUCUUGGGGUGUUUGAAAAGCUCAGAAUUUUCCUGGAGGAGAAUGAGGAAAGUGUCAGGUGUUAUCAGAGACUGGUGGAUUGUAUAUUUUUAAAGAACUAAUGCUUCAAAUCUUCUUGCAGAUGCAUGUCUGUAAUGAUUUUUUAGUCUUCUUUAACUGAAGAUCUUGGCUGUUGACCUUUCCCCUUUUGACAUUCAUCUUUGUGUUCAGGAUUGUGUUUUUCAAAAGAAAGAGAUUGACUCACACAGUCCCAUGGGAGACAUAUCUUUCUUUGUAAUGAUCCUGUAGCCUCCUAGAACUGUAAGGUCUUGGGUGUUGACAGAACUCUUUUGACAUCUACUUUCAGUUCUUCCCAAAGUUGGCUUGAGUUCUAGUUGUAAAUGGUUCGACUUAACUCAUUUUAAUGCUUAAUUUUCUUUUUUGGGGAUUAUCAAACUGCUGUUUCACUAUUUUUUCUUCCAAUAAUUUUUUGUUUGCAAGAGAUACUGUUGUGAGACAACGGAGGAACAUCAAUGAUGCUUUUUCAGUCCAAAGGUCAGAAAGAUUUGCACCUUUGAGGUACACAGUACGUGUUUAAUGCUAACCAAGUAUCUGGUUUUGCUUUGGAGUGCUGUGUGUGAAGUAAAUCUUUGUGUUUUCCAACAUUCCAUGGAUAUUAUCUUGGUGGUAUCUCAUUAACAUUUUAAAAAAAAAAAAAGGAGAAAGUAGCAAUGCUUCAUUUAUUGUUGAUUUGAAUAUUUUUUCACGCUAGUCUGAUGAACUUUUAUCAGUAGCUCACAAUUUGUGAGCUUGCUGUUUGGAAGCAGUUGUAAUGAUUUUACCAUUCAAACAAAAUAUACAUAGUUGUGCAUUCCCAGUGUUGAUUUUGUAUCAUUGGCUUUAUUAUAUAUUUAUUUAUUUAUUUUGGUGUUGGGGAUUUGUGUGGUUUGCUCAUCUCUUCAAAUGGUGUAUAGCUUUGAGAAAGGGUUGAGUGUUUCUGUACUCUGUACAUUGUGUGUGUAAGCGUGGUUUUUAUUCUAUUCUGCUUGCAUAAUCAUUUCAUUCAAUAUGAUUUUUAAUUUUACCAUCAACUUGUGAAUGUAAUAUGGGCCCACCUAUGCACCUAACAAUGAUUAUGAGAGUAUGUCACAUUAUCAGCUGGCAAAAAAUAUGUAGUCUUAGUCUGUCACAUUUAUUCUUUUGCUUGCUCUUGUUGGUCUGGUGCAUGGGUUGGCCCAUACACCAGGCGUAUGAUGGAAUUUUGACGAAGGUACUCAGGUCUACGGCCGCAUUGUAGAAUCAGUUGAUCAGCUGGUAUGUAGCUUUUUAGGGUUCCUUGUAAUGGAAAAUGUUGGUAUCCCCUAUAUUUAAAUUUUCGCAUUAUCAUGUUUUAAGUAGGGGUGUAAACUAACCGGCUAACCCCCAACUGCUUAUUCAGUAUCAGUUGUGUUCUCUCUUUCUGGGAAGAAGAACAACAAUCAUGAUUGAAAUGUCCAUUCACUUUCUGAAUUUUUAUCUCACGUAUUUAUCAGUUCAUUGGGGUGCAUACUUGCAGCUCUGCUUUGUCGAAGUUGAUUAUACUAAGGGACUAGAUUGAAGCCGUGUCAUUGAGACAGCAUGUUACUAAUGCUAAGGAGAUGGCAAGUUGGGAAUAUCCAAUUUGAUUGAUGGGAUCAAUUUUCAUUUAUCUUGCCAUUUUUAUUUGUUUACCAAACUAAGAAAUUUGAUACUAGACAAUUUAAUUACUUUUCUUUGUUACAAACGGAAACAGAAAUGCAAUGGUCAUUAGUUAUAGUUUUAUUCUUUUCUUUUUAGUUGUCAUUCUUUUACAUCUGAAAACUUAUUUGUAUGUAGCUCCCAAGCUCAAUUUAAAUCGGAAGGAUGGCCAACAGCGAGGAUCUUGAAUAAAACUUAUGCGCAAGUAUCGUUCUUUGAGAAGAAACAGUUUUGCUGUUGGUAGAAUUUCUGUUGGCUUUUGUAACAAACUUCUUCCAGCGCAUAAACAUUUGACAUUUUGCGGUUACCCUUUUUCAGAAAUCAAGUGACAUCUGAAACAUUGCUUCGGGAUACUCGAAAGAAAGAAGCGGCUGGUAUUAUGUUUGAAAUGACAUACGAAAAGAAACAUAGCCGUAGUAAUUUAUAACUAAUACAUGUGCUGUGAAAAUCAAAAUUUAAGAUUAACUUGACGGCUCUGCACCCGGUCCGAAUACAAAAAGGGGGUUGCUGAGUUCUGUUAUUUGGAAGUGAAAGUUAUGGUCUUUCCGAGCACAAAAAGAACAAGUGAAAUCUCAAGAAAGAAGAUAGUGUUGAUGAGUGACCGUUCAAUCAUCCAUCCAAAAACAGAAAACCCACCCGGGUUGGACUGCAAAUACGACACUGCAUAACCAAAAGAAUCUUCAAUAAUAUACAUCUUCCUAUCCAGAAUAAAAUAUAAAAUAUAAAAUAAUGCAGCAUUAAUAAACAUAUUGAAUACUAUCACAUGAAAAAAGGACCAUAAUUGCUAGAUAUGAAAUGAAAUGAAAAAUUAAAAUGUUAGAAUCUUCUUCCAGAUCAUCAUAUUCGUGAGUGACGUUCCCUGGAAAAUUUGUUUUUCUAAUGGACUUCUUUGGCCAAGCAAAUGACUGUCUACAACAUCUAUAUGUUCGAUGUGAGAGUUUCAAUGUUCCCAACUAUGUGAGAGUUUCAAUGUUCCCAACUUUUCCAGUCUUCGGAUCAAUUCGAUCAUCUUUCUGAAGAAGUGUCAGACAUCCUAAAGAGUGUGAAUCCUAGGGGAGUUAAAGUCUACUCUGUUUUAUGACUUAGUAGAAGGGACCAUGUGUUUAAGAAACUGUAGCAAGACAGUGAUGAAAUUGAGAUAGUGUUGCAGUUGUAUGGACAAGGCCGAGCACCAUUGCCAGGUUAGGGCACAGGCCAUUUUGGCCUAAGAAAAAGAAAAGGGAUUGCAUUGAUCAAAGCAAUAAAAUGGAAUUUGUGCAGUUGAUCCAAUUAGGGCUUAGUGUGGUGGACUCUGACCUUAAUUUUAACUGGUUGACACUUCAGCCACAAACUACUUGUAAGGGAAAGAAAGUCAUCAAGUGCAAGUCUAAUAUUAUAUGCACUAUAUAUCACAUGCCCUGAAUUUGAUUUACUUAAAAAGUCUAACAAGAACUUCCAAGGAUUUGGAUGAGCAUUUAAUCUCCCCCAUAUGGGAAUAUAAUCUUAGCUGACUUUGCAAAAAGAUAAAAAUGAAGAGAAGAAAACACUUGUACAUACCAAAAGCUUGUCUCUUGUUAUAUGAUGAAGUCAAUUGGGCAAUUGUCGGCACUGGCACGUAGUCAACUGCCUCCAGAUCACUUUCUGAGUAAUUUAAAUGCAAUAUGCUGGCCAUGUUAGGAGGAUCCAGAUUUCCGCUGCUACUGGUUAUAGCUGCAUCUCUAGAGUUGCUAGUAACCAAAGAAUGCCAUUUGGCAGCAAUUGAUGCGACACCUUGAGCUCUGUGAGUGGUUUUUGCAGCUGCAUGCAGGGUAAUAAUUAUCCCAACAAGCUCAGCUAUGCAAGAAAUUACAAAAUCACCGCCAUUCAUGAGAGUGAUUAUAUCUUUGUUUCCUGUGGUUUGAAAUAAAGCCACAGCCUGACAGGCAGUUACAACCAAUAUCUCAAGAAUGAAAAAUAUUCGGAACCUGUGGCUUAUUUUAGACAGGUAAUGUGUUAGGCGAAUAUGUUCCUCAAUGUAUACCAAAACAUCCAUAUCCCUUUCCAAAAGCUUCCCAUAAUUUUCGAAGUGUAUCACUUGCAAAUUGCACAAUAGAUUGAAUAAAGCACAGCCAGAUAAAAAGAUAAUAGUUGAAUAAGUCCAAGAGAUGAUGUGAGCAAUCGAAAUUGCAACAGUUUGCCACCAAGGAUCACGAUGCACAUGCAUAUCUCGAACGAUCUCAAGAACAAUCUUCAGAAGCAGACAUGGCAAUACCCACACUGCCACCAAAAAGAAGAAAUCAUGUAUCUUCUUUACAUAUUCGUCACGGAACUCAGCCAUAUGGCCAUGGGACCUAUCGACAAACAGAAAAUUCCUCACCCCAUAUUUUCUCAAAUUGUGAGAUAUGCAAAGGAGAGAAAUUGCUGCAGCCAGAGAUUGAAACACCAAAAUCUGAAACUCGAAGCUAUUGAUCUGGUACUUCUCAGCUUUCGAAGAAGCAGAUAAUUUGAUCAUAAAGACCGGAAGAACAAUACCCAGAAGCAGAAAAGAAAGCCAAGAGAUUACGAAGCUUAAAAAGGAGUAUUGACAAUAGCCAAAGAGCCUUAGAAAGGUCUCUAAACGGUGAAGAGAUUUGGAGAGCUGGGAACCAUCUUGCUCCUCUACAAGUGGUACUUCCAUUGUUGGUGAGUUCUCAUCUCCCUUUGGCAUGGACUCAGCCGCCAUUUCAGACAGAGAUAGAUCGAGAGAUUUUGCGAGCAACAGCGAAAAAAAGGCUAGCACAAUCGAACAGACAGACCCACCCGGUCUACCUUAGUCUCUAUCCAAACAAUAAAACAAAUGGGACCCGCUCUGCACUCCACAAUUGAAGAAGUGGAUCCACAUCCCGUCUGAUGAUGAGUUAAGUUAGACAAUUGUUUGUACCUUGUCAUGUUUUGCCAUGGG